GCCAGUUAACAUCGAUGAAACACCAAUAGAGAGAUAUGUGAUUGUUUUCACGAAUGGAUCCUCGGGACAAGACAUACCUACUGUAGGAUAUGAUGACGGUCCCGAGUUGAAUUGCUUUACUUUCCGAAGGAUAGAAUCGAACGUGAAUCAUCAUACUGCAAUAGAUAUGAUAGUUGCCUCUUAUACAAAGAUAUUCUAUGUACCUUUUGGGGAAAACCAGCAUAAUAUGAUUUUGGAACAGGCUAUGAGGAAAACAAAUGGGAAACUAAUACAAAAUAAUGAAAUUGAUCGUUUGAUUAUGAUGUCGGACGUUAUGGUUUG